rnacentral:misc_RNA from 1 species
CUCGUUGAUGAGCCCGGGCAGGAUGCCCACGUUGGCGCCCACGUCCUUGAAGAAGCUCAGCGUGUUAAGCGUCUGCUGGUCGUACCCGAGCGACGUCUUGAUCGCCUUGGAAUAGAUGGCGAAUAUGUACGUGCCGCCGGCUGCCGCCAUGAUCAGGAUGGACGCGAAGAACAUGAACCACCGCCCGCGCACGACGUGCAACGCGAACCGCAUCGUGCUUGCGGCGUCGGCGCCGGGGGCCGCUCCCAUGGCACGGUCGCCGCCGAACACCAUGUCCACCGUCUGGUUGGUUCUCAGGGACGACGCGACCACGGAGGCACGGACACAAGAGGUCUCUUGAGCGAG